rnacentral:tRNA from 1 species
AACCUCUUAAAGGUGUUUUGAAAACACAAACAAGACAAAGUCUAGUGGUUU